AUGAAAAAAGGAAAUUCUGCAAAUUAUGAAUGAUAGUCUAGUUGUUUAGUUUUUUUACCGUGAUUUUUCUUUUCCUUUUCUGU
rnacentral:ribozyme from 14 species